GACGAAGGUGGCAAGCGUUGUUCGGAAUCACUGGGCAUAAAGCGCACGUAGGCGGCUGAGUAAGUCGGAUGUGAAAUACCUUGGCUCAACCGAGGAACUGCGUCCGAUACUGCUUGGCUUGAGGUCCGGAGGGGAGAGUGGAAUUCCCGGUGGAGCGGUGAAAUGCGUAGAGAUCGGGAAGAACGCCGGCGGCGAAAGCGACUCUCUGGUCGGAAUCUGACGCUGAGGUGCGAAAGCUAGGGGAGCAAACGGG
rnacentral:rRNA from 1 species